AGUUAAUAAGCUUAAAGCAUUGUAUCUUGAAAAUACAAGAAAGAUUAUAAUCUGUUAACUU
rnacentral:tRNA from 1 species